AUUACUUACUAAGUGAAUUUCUAAUUCAUUAAAGGGUGACCUUAAGUAAAU
rnacentral:tRNA from 1 species